GCAGACACACUCUGUUCUUCGCUGUGCACGCCAGCCUGGGACUUUUUCUGUCUGCGACACGAACACGCAGAAUGUAUCACUGCUGGCUUUACGAGAAGGCCAGCGUCAGUAUGUUCUGCUACAACUGG
rnacentral:snoRNA from 1 species